ensembl:snoRNA
UACCAUGUAUCCUUGGGACCUGUCAGCUAUGGCAUUCUCCCUUCUUAACCAUGGAAGAACAUAUUCUUGUUUAUUGGCAAAGCUGUCACCAUUUAAUUGGUAUCAGAUUCUGACUUGCACAAGUAACAUUC